rnacentral:tRNA from 1 species
CGGGGCGUGGCGCAGCAUGGUAGCGCGCUUCGUUCGGGACGAAGAGGUCGCUGGUUCGAAUCCAGUCGCCCCGACCA